rnacentral:rRNA from 1 species
GGGUGUGAUCAUACUAGCAUUAAUGUACCAGAUCCAAUUAGAACUUCGUAGUUAAGCGCGCUUCUCCUGGAGUAGUACUGGGAUGGGUGACCUCCCGGGAAGUCCUAGUGUUGCACCCU